rnacentral:rRNA from 1 species
UGGAUCUCAAAUCAGACAAGAC